rnacentral:rRNA from 1 species
ACUCCUACGGGAGGCAGCAGUGGGGAAUAUUGGACAAUGGGCGCAAGCCUGAUCCAGCCAUGCCGCGUGAGUGAUGAAGGCCCUAGGGUUGUAAAGCUCUUUCACCGGUGAAGAUAAUGACGGUAACCGGAGAAGAAGCCCCGGCUAACUUCGUGCCAGCAGCCGCGGUAAUACGAAGGGGGCUAGCGUUGUUCGGAUUGACUGGGCGUAAAGCGCACGUAGGCGGACUAUUAAGUCAGGGGUGAAAUCCCGGGGCUCAACCCCGGAACUGCCUUUGAUACUGGUAGUCUUGAGUUCGAGAGAGGUGAGUGGAAUUCCGAGUGUAGAGGUGAAAUUCGUAGAUAUUCGGAGGAACACCAGUGGCGAAGGCGGCUCACUGGCUCGAUACUGACGCUGAGGUGCGAAAGCGUGGGGAGCAAACAGGAUUAGAUACCCCAGUAGUCCCAUGAU